CAAAAACAUAGCUAUAUGAGRAAAUAUAUAGUACUUUCUGCUCAAUGAGUUUUAAAUAGCCGCAGUACCCUGACUGUGCUAAGGUAGCGCAAUCAAUUGACUUUUAAAUGAAGUCCUGUAUGAAGGAAAUUAUGGGGGGUUCCUUUCUCAUUUAUAAUUUAUGAAUUUACUUAAGAAGUGCAAAUUCUUCUUUAAUAAAUAAAAGACGAGAAGACCCUAGAAAUUUUAUAGAAGUAACUUUUUGUUGGGGCAACAGAGUAGUAAUUAAUCUACUACAACGACACGAAAUAUCUAUUUGGUAAGAUUAAAUUACUCUAGGGAUAACAGCAUAAUUAAAAAUAGUUUGUGACCUCGAUGUUGGAUUAGGGAAUUAACAUUCAGAAGAUAAAUAAAAAGCUCUGUUCGAGCA
rnacentral:rRNA from 1 species